AUACGGAGGGUGCGAGCGUUGUUCGGAAUUACUGGGCGUAAAGGGCGCGCAGGCGGCUUGAUAAGUCAGAUGUGAAAACCCACGGCUCAACCGUGGAAGUGCAUCUGAAACUGUCUGGCUUGAGUACUGGAGAGGAAAGUGGAAUUCCUGGUGUAGAGGUGAAAUUCGUAGAUAUCAGGAGGAACACCGGUGGCGAAGGCGACUACCUGGCCAGAUACUGACACUGAGGUGCGAAAGCGUGGGGAGCAAACAGGAUUAGAAACCCGGGUAGUCC
rnacentral:rRNA from 1 species